rnacentral:rRNA from 1 species
AGUGAACGCUGGCGGUAGGCCUAACACAUGCAAGUCGAACGGCAGCACAGGAGAGCUUGCUCUCUGGGUGGCGAGUGGCGGACGGGUGAGGAAUACAUCGGAAUCUACUUUUUCGUGGGGGAUAACGUAGGGAAACUUACGCUAAUACCGCGUACGACCUACGGGUGAAAGCAGGGGACCUUCGGGCCUUGCGCGAUUGAAUGAGCCGAUGUCGGAUUAGCUAGUUGGCGGAGUAAAGGCCCACCAAGGCGACGAUCCGUAGCUGGUCUGAGAGGAUGGGCAGCCACACUGGAACUGAGACACGGUCCAGACUCCUGCGGGAGGCAGCAGUGGGGAGUAUUGGACAAUGGGCGCAAGCCUGAUCCAGCCAUACCGCGUGGGUGAAGAAGGCCUUCGGGUUGUAAAGCCCUUUUGUUGGGAAAGAAAUCCAGCUGGUUAAUACCCGGUUGGGAUGACGGUACCCAAAGAAUAAGCACCGGCUAACUUCGUGCCAGCCGCCGCAGUAA